AUGUUGUUGCAGUUAAAAAGCUCGUAGUUGGAUUUCUGGUGGGAGCGGCCGGUCCGCCGUAAGGUGUGUACUAGGUUGUCUCCUGUCAUCCUUGUGGGAACUGCUCUGGCAUUAAGUUGUCGGGGUUAGGGAACACAUCGUUUACUGUGAAAAAAUUAGAGUGUUUAAAGCAGGCUUAUGCCGUUGAAUACAUUAGCAUGGAAUAAUAAGAUAGGACUUUGGCGUCUAUUUUGUUGGUUUGCACACCAAGGUAAUGAUUAAUAGGGAUAGUUGGGGGUAUUCGUAUUUAAUUGUCAGAGGUGAAAUUCUUGGAUUUAUGAAAGACGAACUUCUGCGAAAGCAUUUACCAAAGAUGUUUUCAUUAAUCAAGAACGAAAGUUAGGGGAUCGAAGAUGAUUAGAUACCAUCGUAGUCUUAACCAUAAACUAUGCCGACUAGGGAUUGGCGGUCGUUCAUUUAUGACUCCGUCAGCACCUUAUGAGAAAUCAAAGUCUUUGGGUUCCGGGGGGAGUAUGGUCGCAAGGCUGAAACUUAAAGGAAUUGACGGAAGGGCACCACCAGGAGUGGAGCCUGCGGCUUAAUUUGACUCAACACGGGGAAACUUACCAGGUCCAGACAUAGUGAAGGAUUGACAGAUUGAGAGCUCUUUCUUGAUCUAUGGCUGGU
rnacentral:rRNA from 1 species